rnacentral:rRNA from 1 species
UUAGCGGCGGACGGGUGAGUAACACGUGGAUAACCUACCUAUAAGACUGGGAUAACUUCGGUAAACCGGAGCUAAUACCGGAUAAUAUUUUGAACCGCAUGGUUCAAAAGUGAAAGACGGUCUUGCUGUCACUUAUAGAUGGAUCCGCGCCGCAUUAGCUAGUUGGUAAGGUAACGGCUUACCAAGGCAACGAUGCAUAGCCGACCUGAGAGGGUGACCGGCCACACUGGAACUGAGACACGGUCCAG